rnacentral:rRNA from 1 species
UACGAAGGGGGCUAGCGUUGCUCGGAAUCACUGGGCGUAAAGCGCACGUAGGCGGCUUUCUAAGUCAGGGGUGAAAUCCUGGAGCUCAACUCCAGAACUGCCUUUGAUACUGGAGAGCUAGAGUCCGGAAGAGGUGAGUGGAACUGCGAGUGUAGAGGUGAAAUUCGUAGAUAUUCGCAAGAACGCCAGUGGCGAAGGCGGCUCACUGGUCCGGUACUGACGCUGAGGUGCGAAAGCGUGGGGAGCAAACAGG